CAAAACGUAGCUUAACUAAAGCAUCCCGCUUACACCGGGGAUAUAUCUGUUAGACCCAGAUCAUUUUGA
rnacentral:tRNA from 1 species